UCUCCCUAAGCUUCGUACAACGCUUCUUCGACAUUGUUUCCCAAAAUGAAAAACCCUCUCCAUCUUCAAUUUAGCUUUCUCUCUCCCUAAAUCUCAAUUUAGCCUUCUCUUUCUCUCCCCUAAAUCUCUCAUUUAUCUUUCUCUCUCCCUCCCCAUCUUCAAUUUCGCAGUUCAUAAACCCUAAUUUUAUGCUUUUUGGUCGAGUUUGUCUGAAAUUUGCUUGAGUUCGUCUGAAAUUUGCUUGAGUUCGCCUGCAAUUUAAUCAAAUCGCACAUAUUUUCUCAUCUCUGAAGUUCGUCUGGUCCGCGUUUUCUGCUGCAAUAUAAAAUAUGGAAUCCAAGGCAUAUCUUAUCUGGAGAAGAAAGAAAUACUUGCCCUCCUAAUCCAGGUAAGGGUCUUGUGUACGAUCACACAACUUAUUCUGAGAUGGAGCAACUGAAUGAACAAUCCUUGUGGAAACUUGCAGUUCGGGAUACAUUACACUGUCGUUGUUUCUGCAUUGUCAACAAUAGAUAUGCAGAUUAGCUGUAUGCCCCUUCUGCCUCAGG